UACAGAGGUCUCAAGCGUUGUUCGGAUUCAUUGGGCGUAAAGGGUGCGUAGGCGGCGCGGUAAGUCGGGUGUGAAAUCUCGGAGCUUAACUCCGAAACUGCAUUCGAUACUGGCGUGCUUGAGGACUGGAGAGGAGACUGGAAUUCAUGGUGUAGCAGUGAAAUGCGUAGAGAUCAUGAGGAAGACCAGUGGCGAAGGCGGGUCUCUGGACAGUUCCUGACGCUGAGGCACGAAGGCCAGGGGAGCAAACGGG
rnacentral:rRNA from 1 species